rnacentral:sRNA from 1 species
GACAAUCUCGACCUUCGGCGUGUUGCUGCAAGUGGGAGGCGCUCUGGCCGAGUCGAUCCGGCUGGUCAUGACAGACUUCCUCCUCUCAGGCAUCAAGAUGAAUGUGCUCGAGAACAUGUACUGGCUCUCACCAGCAGGGGGUA